UACGUAGGGUGCAAGCGUUGUUCGGAUUCAUUGGGCGUAAAGGGUGCGUAGGCGGCGCGGUAAGUCGGGUGUGAAAUCUUGGAGCUUAACUCCGAAACUGCAUUCGAUACUGCCGUGCUUUGAGGACUGGAGAGGAGACUGGAAUUUACGGUGUAGCGGUGAAAUGCGUAGAUAUCGUAAGGAAGACCAGUGGCGAAGGCGGGUCUCUGGACAGUUCCUGACGCUGAGGCACGAAGGCCAGGGGGAGCAAAACGGGG
rnacentral:rRNA from 1 species